CGGACGGGUGAGUAAUGUCUGGGAAACUGCCCGAUGGAGGGGGAUAACUACUGGAAACGGUAGCUAAUACCGCAUAACGUCGCAAGACCAAAGAGGGGGACCUUCGGGCCUCUUGCCAUCGGAUGUGCCCAGAUGGGAUUAGCUAGUAGGUGGGGUAACGGCUCACCUAGUCGACGAUCCCUAGCUGGUCUGAGAGGAUGACCAGCCACACUGGAACUGAGACACGGUCCAG
rnacentral:rRNA from 1 species